rnacentral:rRNA from 1 species
UCCUACGGGAGGCUGCAGUGGGGAAUAUUGCACAAUGGGGGAAACCCUGAUGCAGCAACGCCGCGUGAAGGAUGAAGGUUUUCGGAUUGUAAACUUCUUUAGUCAGGGACGAAUAAAUGACGGUACCUGAAGAAUAAGCCACGGCUAACUACGUGCCAGCAGCCGCGGUAAUACGUAGGUGGCAAGCGUUGUCCGGAAUUACUGGGUGUAAAGGGCGUGUAGGCGGGAAUGUAAGUCAGAUGUGAAAUCCCAGGGCUUAACCCUGGAGCUGCAUCUGAAACUAUGUUUCUUGAGUGCCGGAGAGGAAAGCGGAAUUCCUAGUGUAGCGGUGAAAUGCGUAGAUAUUAGGAGGAACACCAGUGGCGAAGGCGGCUUUCUGGACGGUAACUGACGCUGAGGCGCGAAAGCGUGGGGAGCAAACAGGAUUAGAUACCCUAGUAGUCGGC